rnacentral:rRNA from 1 species
AUUGAACGCUGGCGGCAGGCCUAACACAUGCAAGUCGAACGAGUGGCGGACGGGUGAGUAAUGUCUGGGAAACUGCCCGAUGGAGGGGGAUAACUACUGGAAACGGUAGCUAAAACCGCAUACCAUCGGAUGUGCCCAGAUGGGAUUUGCUAGUAGGUGGGGUAACGGCUGACAUAGGCGACGAUACCUAGCUGGUGUGAGAGGAUGACCAUCCACACUGGAACUUAGUCAGGGUCCAGACUCGGACGGGAGGUAGCAGUGGGGAAUAUUGCACAAUGGGCGCAAGCCUGAUGAAGCCAAGCCGCGUGUAUGAAGAAGGCCUUCGGGUUGUAAAGUACUUUCAGUCGGGAGGCGUUACCGACAGAAGAAGCACCGGCUAAGUCCGUGCCAGCCGCCGCGGUAAUAC